ensembl:lncRNA
CCAUCGUUUUGUGGGUGUCAAGUGUAGGCUAAACUAGAGACAUAAUGGUAAACAAACCAUGAUUGCAACUGACGAGGUUGCUACCCUUCAACCAUAUCUAGACAAACAACUCAUGCAGGGGUACAGUGAAUUAGCCUAACUUACUGCAUCAGAUCCUGAUGCUGCACUAACAGGCCUACAGUCAUGUAGAGGAAUUCGAGAGCGUUAUUCGUAAUUUUAUAGAGAAUUUAUUUAGACUAUAGGCUGGCAGACAUGUCCAGAACUUCCUGUAGGCUAGACAAACUUACUGACGGACUAGAGGGGGUAGACACGUCAAUAUAGGCCAAAACCAAUAUUUCACCAAACCAAUAUAUGCUGCCAAUCACAACACAUCGUUCAUCCUCCUCCUAUUCACAAGUCCACUGUCCACUUGAAGCUACCGCAGAUGCAACUAUGAGAUAUUUAAACCUGUGUUCAGCUUUGUACAAAACUUCUGAAGGCUAUAUUAACGAGGUGCUAGCACCCCUAUCGCGUCCGAAGUUCAUCUGUAGGAAUUUAGCCUAAAUCCUCUCCAAGAUUACGAAUUGCUGACUUGAUGUAGCCUAGGUUUAGUGUGCCAUUAGCAGCACAGGAUAGCAUGCAUGCUAGUUAGGCUACACUGUAGGCCUGCAGGGCCUUUUUCUAAAUACGAGGUAAGGGUAGCAACCAUCAGUUGCAGUUUAGCCCAUUAACUAUAAUGUUUCUGGUUUACAUGGCGACACAAAUACACGCUGAAGAUUUUUAGUUUUUACAAAGUUUGGUUGGCUAUUGUACAAAUAACUUUUGCCUAGGCUGCUUCUCAUAGGCUACAGCCUACAGACACCACCCCAUGGCAACUAGCCAAUCAGGCAGCACUUUGUCGUCACCUAGACAGAACUCGGGAUCAGUCACUACAAAUCUUAAUAAAUCCUAACCUGGUCCUAACACCUUUUUUUGUUUCUUCAAUUUUCUGAAAAUAAAAAUAAAAAACACAGUUCUUUAUCCCAAAUUGUAACUUGCCAGUGUUGAAACUCUUUGAACUUUUUGAACUUUGAACUCAAUUUUCUGAUAUUCCAAAUGUUAAUGACGGACUGAGUCCUUAACCUGUAUGUGUUACUGAGGUGAGAGUACAUGUAUAUGUUAAAAGGACAGCCUUUAACCUGUGUGUGUGUUACGGAGGUGAGAGUACAUGUAUGUGUUAAAGGACAGCCUUUAACCUGUAUGUGUGUGUUACUGAGAGAAGAGUAAGUAAGUAUGAAGCCCAUCAGAUAUAACUCACACUCUCAAUAAUACGCUGACAUAAACGAGUAACAGAAAUAAAAAGCUAAUUGCAAAAGCUUGCACUAAGCAGUAAAUGGGUAGAGCCAUUAAAAACAUUUUAAUUAGAGAAUAAUUACAUGGAGGGUUUUGAUACCACAGUUUUUUUUCCCUCUCUCAUUUAGCAGGCAUGUUUAUCCAAAGCUUCUUACAAUAGAGAGAGAGAGAACAUAAAUAUUAUAAACCACUGACCUAAGUGGUUUGGCUUAACUAGUGUCUUAGCAAGCACCACGCUGUGCAUUCGCCUUCCUCUGGAGCCCAUUACAUUUCAUACCACUGCAAUCUGCAGUAACGGUAGAAGUCAAAGAACAUUCCUUCACUGUAGCUGCCGCUGUGUUAUCAUUUUAAAGGACUCUCCUAUGACGGAUCCAUUGUCCUCUUGUUCUCGGUCUCUGUAAGUUAUAGAUCUUGGUGCCUAGUUUUGGAUCCUAGUUUUCUAUGCCUGGAACCAUUUUGGUUUAUUUUGGGAACAACCUAAGCUCAUCUGGAUUAAUAAAUAAAUCCAUAUUUUUUUACUGGACUGCCAUCUCCUGCCCGUUUCUUCCCUCGUCCCCACCUCAUUCAGGAGCACACCUCCCAAAUCAUGGGGU